GAUCGUUCUUGUGUAGCCGCGGUCUGGUCGAAAAUAAAAAUAAAGAGAAACCAAAUGGCAGAUAAAGCUUGAGUACGAAUUGCUGACGGAGAUAAUGUAAAAUAACACUACAGCUUUAGUUCGCUAGUUCGAUGCGUUGAUACAUUUCCCACUCCCCACUGUCUUCCGCAUGGCUGUGGGAGAAUAACAAUAGCAACAAGAGUCAGCUAGCCAGUCAGUGUUUCGCUCCAUGAAGAUGUAGCGUGCGAAUGAAGAGUUUAUUCACAUGCAACGCAUUCCAUGAUAGGCAGUUGCAUUCGCGUUACAUAAGCUUUAUGCGAGAUGUGAAUCAAGUGAAAAACACUCCCUUAUUAGAGGUGCUGGGCGAGAAAGUGUGCUGUAACUGCAUUAGCAGUACAAGAAACGCGUUAUCGGAUACAUUUUGUGACUGCCAACGGUGGUCGCCAUAUUGAUUUCGGAAUCAGAGCAGCGAUCGAAAAAAAAAGAACCAUCGCUGAGGCAUAUUCGUUUGCUUGAUAUGUGUUGCCGUGAAGGCAAACUAAUAAAGGAGCGUUAAUAUAUGUAGUGCGGUGUACAAGUGAUAUGAAAUUGUAGAUUGUGCAAUAAGAAAAUAUUGUGUGUCUGAAACGAGCUACAGUACAGGUCAGCGCCAGUCACCAGCUUUCCGUAAUGAAAUGCGAACGUGUAAAAAAGCCACCAAGAUUGGCUGUCCGAAAGAGUGAAAAGAAAAGAAAGUGUGAAAAAAUUGCUACAGUCAAUAUCGCAAUCGUAGUGUGAGCGCGCACGCACACGGCGCAUUGUGUACGUGUGUGUGGGAGUAUUGUGUGUACGUCAAAAUAUUGUAAAAAAAGGUGGAUUGUUUUUUUUUUCUUCUGUGUGUAUGCUAACGGGAGUGGUGUAUACACGAAGAAGAGUGUAAUAAACACACCCGUCUACACACUCCAACCCAUCUUUUCAUUGCGAUUUAGCAGUUCAUUAAUAAAAUACGUCAGUGUGAAAUGAGUUGAAAGUUGGAAGGAAGGAAGUUUGAAGGCAAACAAACAUACAAAAUGCUGUGAGCCACAUUACAUCGCUACACCGAUCUUAGAACGGUCGGAAAGGGAUCCAGAAUACGCUGCCCAUAGUCACAGCUCCGGCAAAUUGUAUAUAGAUAACAUCAAAUACAAUUUAGAAUCAAAAACAGUUAUACCAGCUACUGGUCACUUUGUGUCCAAUAUUUACUCAAAAAAAGUUGUUCAUCUUAAACUAAUUCUUCAUAUUUGUACAAAUUAGUAGUCAUAAAAUAAACAAGCCUACAUAAUGGCUGCCAGUCCCGGUUCAGAUAACAAUUGUAACAUCUACAUGCCACCGUUAGGAUGUUCCGUGGCAUCCUCGCAUGACUUCAGCGAUUAUCAGUGGUUUACUGAUUUUGGAAGUUAUCGCGACGGAGUGGCUACACACCAGAGCAUCCUUUCGGCACUAUCCGCGUCGUACAACGGGAUCGGCGAACUGUCGUACUACGAGAAGAUGGCGAAAGAUAUUGAUGCAAAUCUAGCCGAGAUCGAUAUGGAAAGCUUUCGCAAAGAGGACAUCAAUUCGCUGUUGACUGCCAUUCCAACGCAGUUACGGCUAGACGAUGCAGAGCGCAGAACGCGCAAUAAUAAUCGAAUUUUCUCGACGAUAACCAGUUGUACGGCAGCUGGACUAAUACCGGCCGAUAUGAUGGACAAUUCAUUCUGCAAAUCGGAGAUUCUCUUUUCGCCGGUAAAGGAAUCGCACAUCAGUGUAGAUUCACUAGACAUGGAUGGGUACCCGGAUGAAGAAGAUAUCAUACUAACGUGUCAAGCAAAUAAGGACAACUACACAAUAGCAUUUGAACAGAGCAUUCUGUACUCAGAGGAAAGUUAUUACGAUGGCCCGGAACACUAUGGAAAGUAUAAGCGCAUGAAUAUAUUGAACAAUCUGCAAAGUCGAACCCAGUUUAUCAGGCAGAAAGAAUCUAUGUCGCGCUCAGAAGUAAACUACACCACUUGGAGCAAUUUAAAGCGAAACGUAACCACGCCACGGCCUCCAAUUACAGUGAAUCCGCUAAUAACGCAUAUCUCGCGCCACAAUAGAACAUGUUUCGUACGUAAAAGCUUUAGUAUGCCUAACCUUCAGUCAGAACAAUCGUGCUCGUUACAACAAGUACAGCUUCCAUCACAUGAACGGCAUCAACUGAAUGUUUCACAGGCUGCAAAUGGCAAUAAUUCCGAUGAAUCAUUUGAUAGACCGAUGCGUACGUUGCUUCCAAUGUGUACCAUACCAACGGAUUCUGAGAAUGAAAGCAGUACCAAUGGAAAUGAAGUCAAUGACAGUGAACAGAGUGCUGCAAAUGAGCAUAUAACAGUGCAAGAACAUCGAGAGUCGUUGCUGCAAGCACAGCAACUGCAAGAGCAGCAACCUCCACAGCAGCAAACGCUGCAGCAGCCGUCGUUUAACUUGGUAAAGCUUUUUAUCAAACAAAAGAGUAGUUCAACGGACACUUGCAUGGACGUGUCGUCCGGCUGUUGGCCCAGCGAUAGUACCAACAGCGGUGGCUCAGGCGACCAUCAGAUACAUCACCUAGGUAAUGGAACAAUGGCUGCAAGAUGUCGUAAGAAAAGUAUGCAUGACUCAGGAAAAUGUUCGACUACUGGCGGUGGAAGCAUUGGUGGAAGGCAAGGCGAAGAGGACGAAUUUCAGCUGGACAGUUUAGAUGCACAAAUUAACAACGCCCACGUAAACGCUAACAACAAUAAUGGCAGUGAUGGUGGUGAAGAUGAUCCAAACGAAGAAAGAGGUCCACCGUCCUCUCCACAGCGAGCUCACGGUAUGAAUGGAGGAUCGGUUCCGGGCCAUAUGAAACUGAACGAUUUCAACCGGCAAAUGCACGGCUCUCCACGAAGACAGUACAAGGGCUUCAGUAUGAACAUUGGCGGAAGAAGACUGUUGCAGGAUCUGUUGCAGCAGCACAAUGGUAGCUGCGCAGGAUCAGCCAGCCCACUAAAUAGCAGUACCAGUAUUAACAAUAAUAAUAAUAACAAUAGCCACAAUGUAAACAACAAUAACAGCUAUAAAGACACCAACAGCGAUACCAGCCGCACGUCGGAAAACUUAACGCAGAUUUUCAAUCACAGUGGUAAUAACAAUACCACUACCUCUACGGGAUCAAAAACAAAGAUCCCGAUCGACAUGAUAACUAAAUCAAUGCAAACUUCCCUUAUUGGUGCUCCGACGGCAAACGGAGGCACGGCAACGAGGGAGAAGGUUCGCGUGAUACCACCUUCUUUUCUGGAUCGGUUGAACGAACUUGGCGAUAAACAGAAGGCUCCGGUGUUUGUGGUGUAUCCUAACUAUGCGCUUCCGGAUUUGGGUUUCUUGAAGACGCAAAACGAAGUGGUUAUAUCACCACUAUCGUUCAAGGAAACUAUGACCGGUGCAGGUCGUCCACUUAAGAAACCGCGCCCCGUUUCAAUGAACGACAUUGAAAAUAUACGACAGCGCGAAUACAAGCAUGUGACGGAUUGGAAGUCACUUGUUUUUCUUCUUCCGACCGAGUAUCGCAAGCUGCUGCGUCAUAUUCCGGAAGUAGGCGAACUGAGCAUGUCUACCGAGAAGCAACCCAUGUUUUGCAUGACGCCGCCUUUACGCCGAGGUGUGGCACGGGGUGUGAGUUGUGACUGCACCAACCUGUUGCAGCAAAACACGCAGACAUACAAUAGUUCAAGUUCUGGAGGAAGUUCGAGCGCUGCUCCCAGCUCUGGAUACAGAGGAUCUUCAACGAUGCUAACGACGGACUCCGAGAUGGAUGGUAUACUGGCACCGUCGAAUAGCAGCAACCUUUUCAACAAUAAUCUUUACGUGUACCAAUACGAUAGUCCAGCGGAGGUGCUGGUCCCUUGCGAGAGGCCACCUUCGGGUCGUACAGCGGGAGUAGCCCCUAAAAGCAUUCUUCGCAGGCCCCAAGGCUCGGUUAGAGGGGCCAGUAAUUCAUCUGGCAGUGGUGCUAACAGUCAGAGCAAUAUGAAAGCAAAGCGUAGCAGUAUGUUUGAAGAACAACAGGGGCCUCAUUUCCCGCAAGGGUCGCGAGAAAAGCGACGUUCGCUGCAGGAACAUCAUUCGUACAACUUUUACGAAGACGCCGAAGAAGAAGAAGAAGAAAAAGAAGACUAUGAGGAACAUCGGAACGGGCAAAAGCUUCACAAUUCGCCGAAUAUGAUUCCACAUCCACGGUUGACCAACACGCCAAAGUUGCCAUCGGCAGAUCAUUACCACAAGUUGAACAAGUUGGUAGAAAUUAAUGAUAACGAUAUGGCGAACCUUGCUCAUGGCAAACAUCAACAGUGUGUCGACGAGGAUCUCGAAGCUCGUGCACGCGCAGAACAAUUCCUGUCGCAUGUACCAAAAUCGGAGCUCAAGCACUAUGCCGAGAUUGCACACAUCCUUGAAUCUACCGAGAUGAUCGAAUCUUCCGAGCCGCCUUAUGAUCGUACCAGACUCCGCAACGAAGUCAGUCGGCUGUUGUCCCAAAAGCGAAGCGUAGCUUUCACCAAACAACAAACGACUCCAACCUCAUUCGGCGGUAACAAUACCACCCCUGUGCGACAGCAAGCAGCCCCAGCGACGGCUUUGUUGCGACCAACUGAAAUAAAGUUUUCCACGCCACCAAAUUCACCAAACAUGUCGGUUACGGUAGCAAAGACGGGUCACCAUGUUGCUGGUGGAAUGAUGGCUGAGAAGAAACCACCAGUGGCACAGCGCACGCCAUCAUCCUUGGCAGGUUCGCCUGCGUGUGGCACUGAAAAGGAAAAGCAAGAUAAAAUACAAACCAAUCGCUUUAAGCGACUGCAAAUUCAGUGGGAGCUGCUAAGUAAAGAAAGCACGAAAGCGUCUUCCGAGAGCCAGCGGAAAGAAAUUCGCAGUGGUGGAAAUACCCCUACGGGUGGUAAUGGAGGGCCUAAAUCGAGGAUACCACGCCCUGUGAGUUAUCCCACUACCAGAACAAAUUCUGAUCCAGUGGUGAGCAAAACAUUAAAAUCGCCUAGUCGCAUAGUGGCCCCAAGGAAGUACGGUGCUAUGCAAUCCCCGGUCACAACGCCGCCCACACCUGCCCCACGCACUCCGAGCAAAACUUUUAGUAAUGUUACUCCCAAGAAAGUAUCAUCAGCCCCCUCUCGCCCCGCAACACGCACACGGUGAAGAGAAAGAUAUGAUGUUUAAUUGUGAUAAUUCCUUAACUAACCUUUUGUAUGAUUCUUUUUUUCCUCUUCUUCCUUCUUUUCUUACGUUCACUACAUCCCUGCCAAUGGCUUAUUAUGAUUUACAUUCCUCUCUCUACAAUCCGACCUGUAAUUCAAUCAUAUCAACUUUAUUUUUAUUUGUUGGAACCCAACAAUAUCAUCAAUCGUAUCGACGCAUGCAGCAUUCCGCUCGGAAACCGGAGUAAAAAAAUACCUGCUAAGUAGCAAAUACGCAAAUGUUGACGUAAUAUUAUUUACUCAAGAGCGGCAAUGAUAUCCCUCGCAUCCCUGCCGACAUAACGGAGAUUGCAGUACAUUGAGCGUAUUAUGUUUUAAGCCAAAGGAAGUGUAUAUUACAAACCCAACUAACUACCUGUAAACGGAGGCGGUCGAACAGUGGCACAGCAGCGUGCUCUGAUAUAUGAUAGUGUUGGAAAGCUGGUGUAUAGAAUGAAUUUGGGAUGUGUUAAAUACUUUACACUCCAAACAUAAAGCGCAAUGAUCGCACUGUUCUAGGUAUGCUGCACGCACCAAAGGCAGACAGAUUCAUACACGCUUCACAUUGUUUGGUUUUUAUAGUAUCAAAAUUACCAUUUGGUGAUUCGUUCCAACACCAUAUGAAUGCAUUAUAGAUACUUGUGUAUACACAUUCGUCUAAUGAAUGACGCAUGCGGGCAUUAAUCAUUGCAUUCAUAUCUGGCAUCCAUAAGCGUUGCGAAUAAUUACAUGGGAUUAAGAAAACUGUGACUGAAUUACAGAGAAUUGUGUAUAGAUUAGCUGAGGUAUGGUUUUCUGUGUAAUGGUCAAAAAGGCGUCGACUUGCCUCUUUUUCCGUUACGGCAACACCAUUGCAAUUGCGUUGCUCUGAAAAUAGCACGCAUACAAUCGUUUGCUCUUGUUAAGAUGAAAGCUUUAGGCGUUGUUUUGUCGAUUGAACUGCUUUACCUUUCGCUAGAAAAGUACUCAUCGAGCGGAAAACAAUCCCUGUAGGUGUACGUAAAGGAUUUUUUUUGUAUUUUAAUUUUUGCAAACCAUGGCAGGCCGCAGUGAAUAUUGGGAGUGACAGUAGCAAGGAAGGGAUAGUGACCCUGGAUAAAGUACAUAAAGUCCUUUUAGCGGCUCUUAUUAUUACUAUUGCUUCUUAGUCAGCUUGCUUCAUUAAUAGCUAUAUAAAAUGCAUAAACUGAUAAAACAAAAAAAAAUACUCACCGCUCUGUAAUCAAUGCUGUAAUAUCCAGGUACAUUCAUGAACAGUAACAGAAGAGAGCUAGGAAAGUUUGAGGAGUGUUAAGGAGCAGCGAGUGUUAAAGAUGGAUUAGAUUCGUUUAGUAUUACAGCGUGUACAGCCAAUAGAAAGUAGGAAAGAUGCAUAUUUUUGGUAUUAUUAUUUGUUUUCCUAAGGCCAACAACUAUUUUGCCUCGUUCGGUUCACCUAGCUCAUUAAAGCAGACCAAAAACUAAGUCAUUAGAUUAAAGCUUCAAAAGAAUUACAUUUUAUUCUACUCCUAGUCUUUCCCCCCCUUUCUAUCGAUAUGAGUUUCUGUGCGUCUCUAUCUAAAAGCACGUACAUAAGCUGAUCGUUUUGCUGUAUGCAAAACAAAUCUUUAAAAUCUUUUUCUCUCUCGCUCAAUCGAAGUAUGAAACAAUAUUAUUAAUUUUAAACAAGUCUAUUUGUGAAUGUGACCCUUCAGUGGAAACAAAAUGUUCAUUACCAACAAACCUACUUUUUGGAGUAAAGCUUUUUCCUACAUUUACCUUGACCAGGUAUUGUUACCAUGACCACGAACGUAAAUCUGGCGGUUAAUAAAACACCAGAGCUUACAACUAAUGUACUAAGAAACUAGCUAAAACCAAAACUUCUGCAGCCAUGCUUCUGCACACAUAUGCUUGCAUGACGGAUGCUUCUACAGUAUAUAAUGCAAUGUGUUGAUGCUAGUCAAAUAGAUCAACUUUGGCAAAUGGACAACCCAACCGCUAUGUACGAAAGAUCAGUCGUUAGGAUUUUAAAUCAAUACAUUUUCCGCUCGAAAUAUACCUCCUUUGUUUAGUUAGCUAUUCAUAGCGUGUUUUAGUAUUCGCUUUUUUUCCAAUGUUCAUAGUGCAGCGGUCCGCUCGACAGCUACAGUUCGAACAAAUUAAAACACUCGUGCCAUAAUAUCAUCAAUAAACCACGCAAUUGUUUCAUGUUUAUUUUAGUUUGUUUGCGUCAGGAUCAUCGAUUACAUACGUUGUGCUGGACAUUUAAAAAACGCAUAUAUAAUGCCAUUAAGCCAUUAUGAAAUUGUAUAACUUCCAUCUGUAUGAAUGGCGCAUUCAGUAGUGAGCGCGCGCGUCACUAUUGCUGCUUCGCUAUCAUUAUUGUUCGUCGUGAGCAAUUAUUUCACUUUUGCUUAUUUAUUUUUUAUUGCGGCAGUGUGCAAAACAUUCAAGAUAACGUAUAGUCAUAAAUAAUAUAUAUGCAUAUAUUUGAUGAAAUGGAACGAAACAGAAUAUACAAACUGCUGGAAUGCUAUAUACAACCAAUAAAAGCAUUUAAUCACAC